rnacentral:lncRNA from 1 species
UAAGGGACGACAUCAAAAGUUCAAUGUAGGAUAAAAAACUUAAUUCAUAUAGUUUUUUCACUGACCCCCUACCCCCCUCUUAACUUAAUUUGGGAAAAAUUGAUUGACCAAUAAGGAUAUAUAUAUAAUCGAUGUCAAUUAAACAAAACUUGCAGCAAUGUUGACCCCCACCCCCAAACUAUUUGAAUUAAGUUUUUUAUCCUUCAUUGAUUUUUUGAUGUCGUCCCUAAAU